UGUUAGAACUGUAAUACUAUUCUGUUGAAAUACCCCGGUCAGGUUCGGAAGAAAGCAGCCAAAUUCAAUGUGUAUAGGUAUUAUUAUGUCGCUAGCAGAG
rnacentral:SRP_RNA from 1 species